rnacentral:lncRNA from 1 species
CUCGGUACCAGUACCCCCUGUAUAUAGCCUCGUUAUUGUGUUACGUUUCAAAAAUAUAAUUUUUGUUAAACUGCGCUAUUGGUUAAGGGCUUGUAAGUAAGCAUUUCACGGUAAGGUCUACACUUGUUGACAAAUGUGACAAAUAAAGUUUGAUUUGAUUUAUCUCCCCUUCUCAGAGAGAUUAGGAGAAAUAGCACCAGCACAACCUACUAGACUUGAAGAAGAGGGAAAAUCUACUGACAAAUAUGGCAAUGGGGGAUAUAUAAAUGGACAAGUUCAGCCAGAAGGAGGUGCAAAGGAGAAGAAAUAUGAAUUAACAGGAUUCUUUGGGAAUAGUGGAUACUAAGGUUGACCAGGGUGACGGUGGCCAUUUACAGCAUUUAACUUCACUAGAUUUUUUUGACAUUGCUGUUGUUGUUUAUAUUUGUUUUAAUUCCCUUUUUAAUUGAUCUCUAGUUUUUGUAUAAUUAUUCAUAUCUCUCUGUCCAUGCCAAACCGGUCCUACCUGACAUAUUUUUUUAAUAGUUUUCAUGCCAUGUCUGUAAUAUCACUAGAACUAAGAAAACACACAUUUAAGUCUUGCUAGGGCAUACCUUCUUUGUAGUUUAUAUUUUCUACAAAUGUAUCUUGAUUAUGUGUCUGUCUUAUUUCAUUUCGUAACCACCUGUCUUACUCCACUUACUGGAUAAGGUGAAUCAUGUUUUGAGAGUUUGUGUGCUACAAAUAUUUAAUGUGUUGAUUGAAUCAAUCCAGUUUUUGUCUGCAUAGUUUUAUAAACUCAAACUCAAACAAAUGUAUUUUGUAUGGGAAAGUUUUUUUUAAUUUUUUACUACCUGUGGCAAACACCUGUACAUUUUUGGACAGUUUUGAUGGAAUAAAAACAGACUGGAAAUACCAUCUGUGUGGCAAAAGUUUAUUUUAUGCAUGUAUU